AAACUUUCAACAACGGAUCUCUUGGUUCUCGCAUCGAUGAAGAACGCAGCGAAAUGCGAUACGUAAUGUGAAUUGCAGAAUUCCGUGAAUCAUCGAAUUUUUGAACGCACAUUGGCCCCUUGGUAUUCCAGGGGGCAUGCUGUUUGAGCGUCAUUU
rnacentral:rRNA from 1 species